UACGGGGGGAGCAAGCGUUGUUCGGAUUUACUGGGCGUAAAGGGCGCGUAGGCGGUCGUGACAAGUCACUUGUGAAAUCUCCGGGCUUAACUCGGAGCGGUCAAGUGAUACUGUCGGACUAGAGUACAGAAGGGGCAACUGGAAUUCUCGGUGUAGCGGUGAAAUGCGUAGAUAUCGAGAGGAACACCUGCGGCGAAGGCGGGUUGCUGGGCUGAUACUGACGCUGAGGCGCGAAAGCCAGGGAGCGAACGGG
rnacentral:rRNA from 1 species